rnacentral:rRNA from 1 species
CAGUAGCCGCGGGAAUACGUAGGUGGCGAGCGUUGUCCGGAAUUAUUGGGCGUAAAGGGAGCGCAGGCGGACAUAUAAGUCCAUCUUAAAAGUGCGGGGCUCAACCCCGUGAGGGGAUGGAAACUGUAUGCCUUGAGUGCAGGAGAGGAAAGCGGAAUUCCCAGUGUAGCGGUGAAAUGCGUAGAUAUUGGGAGGAACACCAGUGGCGAAGGCGGCUUUCUGGACUGCAACUGACGCUGAGGCUCGAAAGCCAGGGGAGCGAACGGGAUUAGAUACCCGAGUAGUCCCUGUCUCUUAUACA